rnacentral:rRNA from 1 species
CCCCUAGUAACUGCGAGUGAAGCGGGAAAAGCUCAAAUUUAAAAUCUGGUGGUCUUUGGCCAUCCGAGUUGUAAUUUAAAGAAGCGUUUUCCGCGCUGGACCGUGCACAAGUCUCCUGGAAUGGAGCCUCAUAGAGGGUGAGAAUCCCGUCUUUGGCACGGACGCACCAGGGCUUUUGUGAUGCGCUCUCGAAGAGUCGAGUUGUUUGGGAAUGCAGCUCAAAAUGGGUGGUGAACUCCAUCUAAAGCUAAAUAUUGGCGAGAGACCGAUAGCGAACAAGUACCGUGAGGGAAAGAUGAAAAGCACUUUGGAAAGAGAGUGAAACAGUACGUGAAAUUGUUGAAAGGGAAACGCUUGAAGUCAGUCGCGUCGACCGAGACUCAGCCUCGCCUCGGCUUGGUGUACUUCUCGGCUGACGGGUCAGCAUCAAUUUUGCCCCUUGGAUAAUGGCAGGGGAAAUGUGACACCUUUACGGUGUGUUAUAGUCUCUCGUCGCAUGCAAGGGUCGGGAUUGAGGAACUCAGCACGCGCCUCUGGGCGUCGGGGCUUUGCCCACGAUACGUGCUUAGGAUGUUGGCGUAAUGGCUUUAAACGACCCGUCUUGAAACACGGACCAAGGAGUCUAACAUGCCUGCGAGUGUUCGGGUGGAAAACCCGUGCGCGCAAUGAAAGUGAAAGUUGGGACCUCCGUCGUGGAGGGCACCGACGCCCGGACCAGACCUUCUGUGACGGCUCUGCGGUAGAGCAUGCAUGUUAGGACCCGAAAGAUGGUGAACUAUGCCUGAAUAGGGUGAAGCCAGAGGAAACUCUGGUGGAGGCUCGUAGCGAUUCUGACGUGCAAAUCGAUCGUCAAAUUUGGGUAUAGGGG